rnacentral:rRNA from 1 species
AGCGGGAAGUAGUUUACUACUUUGCCGGCGAGCGGCGGACGGGUGAGUAAUGUCUGGGAAACUGCCUGAUGGAGGGGGAUAACUACUGGAAACGGUAGCUAAUACCGCAUAACGUCUUCGGACCAAAGUGGGGGACCUUCGGGCCUCACGCCAUCGGAUGUGCCCAGAUGGGAUUAGCUAGUAGGUGGGGUAAUGGCUCACCUAGGCGACGAUCCCUAGCUGGUCUGAGAGGAUGACCAGCCACACUGGAACUGAGGCACGGUCCAGACUCCUACGGGAGGCAGCAGUGGGGAAUAUUGCACAAUGGGCGCAAGCCUGAUGCAGCCAUGCCGCGUGUGUGAAGAAGGCCUUCGGGUUGUAAAGCACUUUCAGCGAGGAGGAAGGCCAAUAACUUAAUACGUUGUUGGAUUGACGUUACUCGCAGAAGAAGCACCGGCUAACUCCGUGCCAGCAGCCGCGGUAAUACGGAGGGUGCAAGCGUUAAUCGGAAUUACUGGGCGUAAAGCGCACGCAGGCGGUUUGUUAAGUCAGAUGUGAAAUCCCCGCGCUUAACGUGGGAACUGCAUUUGAAACUGGCAAGCUAGAGUCUUGUAGAGGGGGGUAGAAUUCCAGGUGUAGCGGUGAAAUGCGUAGAGAUCUGGAGGAAUACCGGUGGCGAAGGCGGCCCCCUGGACAAAGACUGACGCUCAGGUGCGAAAGCGUGGGGAGCAAACA